ensembl:lncRNA
AAUGAAUAAUUCUUGAUGCCUAAGUCAACAGCUCCAUGCAUUUAUGGGUCAACAAAUUUCUGUUAAGUCUGUGGGCCUUCAGUCACGGCAGCUCCAGCAGCCUUGGGCAGCUGGCAGGAGGUAGCCUCUGCUUGCACAGUGCCCGCCCGUAUACUGGGUCUAGUGGUGCACGUUUGCUAGGCUCCUCCUGUGAUAGGGAGCUAUGGUCCUGCGUUCUCUGUACAGGGACAAAUCUCAAGAAGAAAGUGACUAAAGUUCCUUGCAGAAAGUACUUGGUUCAGAAGUAGACAGCCUCAAAGAGUAUCCAAGUUGGGCUACACUUACUGUCAAAUAUGGUGGAGAUAAGACUUGGCUAGCUGUAAUUAGGCAAGUUAAAAUUGUGGUUGAUUCUUGAUGGACUCACUGGAAAUAGGUCUGGAAACUUAGGUGGUCACAUAUAAAACAUGGGGUGAGCUCCUUCAUACCAGAUUGUCCAGGAUUGGGAGCAGAGGCCUCUGGUUAGUCUUCAGCACUGAUAGAGCUGCAUGCAGACUGGACCUCUCAUCUGGUGACGAGUGGGGAAUGUCAGGUAGUGCUCUAGAUUUUCCAGAUUGCUGAAAAGAUGAGCUGAGUCUGUCCUAAAGCACAGACCCAAGGCAGCAUUCGUACUGAGUGGUCCUGGAAACCUGGAGAGCAGCCCCCUUUAUGUGGGACUCAAGAUGUAUUUUCCAGUAAUGAACCUAACUUUUAAGAAUCCAGUCUAACUGCUGAAGAUGUGAAUGUAUGGGGUGUGUGUGUAGUGUGUGCACAUGUGUGCAGUAAAUGAUUUUUUCAUUUAAAAAUUCCCACUUCCACCAACUAUGGAGAGAAAUAAUAGGAAAACACAUGUUAUUUAAUUAUGAUUAAUUUCAAUUUCAGUAGAAUCCCAGCUAGAUGUUACAAUUUAUAGCUUUUUAGACAGAGACAUGGCAAAGGCUUUAAAUAAAUCUGUAGGACUUCAUAAUCUCUUCAAACUAUAUUUCUGAUCCUCAAUAAUAAAAUGCUAUUCCAAGCCUAUGAUAAAAACUUUGCCAAUAUCCUUCCUUGGUCAGAAUCCAAGUUUGUUCUGCCAUCCUAUGAAAGUACAUGUGGCUACCAAAAUUUCUUCUUCACAGUACUUAGAUAUUUGAGCUGGAUCUCUAUGGGGGUUGAGGAGUAAGUAAGGUGAUGUUUUUAUAUGCUCUUGUGUUUAGCUUGGAGCCUAAUUUGGGAGAAGCGUGCUCUCUGGAUGAGUUGGUAGAGGAAGCCAGUUGGUUAACAGAGAUAAGAGCAGCAACCCUGGGUUAAACAAGAAUUGCCACAGCCUCAGUAUUGUGUAAUAGGACGGAGGAAAUGCUAAGGCUGUCAGACAUUUUUGCUCCUCCAAAAGUGAGUACUGUUACAGCUGCUAGUGACCAAGAAGUAACCAACAGCCUGAGGAGACUGGUUUGGAGUAGGAGACAAGGUAAUCAUUAGUGAACACAGCAAUUUCUACUGCAGAGGAGGAAUCUGGAGAGAUCAAGAAGGUUCCCUCUCAUAGAGUGGUUCUCAACCUUCCUAAUGCUUCAACCCUUUAAGUUCCUAAGGUUGUAGUGACCUCAACCAUAAAUGAUUUCAUUGCUACUUCAUAACUGUAAUUUUGCUAGUUAUGAAUUGUAAGUAUCUGAAAUGCAGGCUCUGAUAUACAACCCCUUUGAAAGGGUCUUUCAACUCCCCAAAGGGGUCAUGACUCAUGGGUUGAGAACCACUGCUCAAUAGGUCGAACAUAUUUGUUUUUUAUCAUAGCAGUUAUCUUAAAUAAGAAGAUGAUAGAGUACAUAAAUAAAAUGGAAUAUUGCUCAACUCUAAAGAAAAUGAAAUCACAAAAUUUGCUGGGAAAUGCAUGAACUUCGAAUGUACAUUAUGCAAGAACACCCAGUCUCAGAAAGAGAAACACAUGCUCUACCUCAUAUGGAUCCUAGCCUAUAAUGUACACAUGUAGACUGAUGGUGAGUGUAUGUAGUAAGGAAAACGGGGCCGGUCGGUCGUGUUAGAUGACAAGGACAGAAUACAGGUAAAUGACACGUGGGUUGUGAAAGAGUACUGAGCUGAUUUUUUUUCUAGUUUUUACCCUGUCGUGAAUUCUAUGUGAUGGAUAAGUGCAUUAAAAUGUAGUCUAUAGAAGUUCGUGGCUUCAGGAGGACUGUUCCAACUGAGUUCAUUGAGAUGCAUAAACUUUGGGUCUGUACAAGUGCUUGUUUGAAUGGCUGUGUUAAUGUAGCUAGAUGAUGUCUUUUAUUUGCAAGUUCUUUACAAUAAAGUGAUUUAUAAAGAGAGAUGAAAUAGUCUUAAGUCUUUACAUAAAAAGAAAUAGAACCAAAACUGUAUCUAUGAUUGUGUGUUUUAAGAAAAGAUGUAUGCUGACUUUUUUCUUCCUUAUAAUAAAUUUGUCAAAGACACUUUCAGAAAUAAGUUAAUUAUAUUAGAUGUCAACAUGGCCACAGAGCUGCUAAGGCAACUAACUAAUCAGAAUUACAGACCUUUAAGUCGUGUUAUUUUCGUAGGAUAUAACAACAUCAAAUUCAGGUACAAAUUCAUCAAAGACAAGACUUCUUGGUUUGGAAGACUAGGAAGGGCCAUCUUAAAGAAAGUGAGCCUCUCUGCUCUUUGUGGCUGUUGGGAAGUGGGAAUACUCAGUGUUUUUAUCUUGCUUUCCCUCCCCCCUCUUUGUUAUUAGUUUGAGUGCAUAAAUAUUAGCAUCAAGAGGGAAGACGAGGUCAGAGUGGCAGAGGGAUGGCGUUGACAGGCACAGAAUGGCUUGCAAUGCCUGUUUUUGUAAGAACUCAGUAAGCAAAAUUAUCUCAGGCUGAGAUGUCUCACGCUAUUCAGAGAAGGCCGGCUUUAGUGACAUGUGUCUUGAAUCAUCUGUGUCUAGAUUUGGGGGCAGUUUUUGAUCUUCUGAGGUCUAAUUUACAGCUGCAGAUACUUGUGACUUUGUGUUUGUCCUCCCUAUCCCUUAACCCCCACACCUCAAAUUAUUAUAAGUUCAGUCUUUCAUAUGUUUUCUAAAAAUGGGAAAGUGUUAGAAGUUGUUUUCAGCGCCAUGGGACAUACGUGAGAGUGUGUUUCUUAAAUUAUCAAGUUGGUGUUUCUUAUCUGUUUAUAAGUGUUGAAGGAAGAUUAGGCAGUUACAUUACUUUGGAAAAUAAUAAGUAAAACUCCACCUAUUUUCUACAAAACUUAUCAAGGCAUUUAACAUCCCCUUAACUGUAACUGUUUAAUAUGCUCAUCCUUAUAGGACACGAAUAAAAUUAAACACAUCAAAAACAAAAAGCAUCCCCUCCUUUACUGGGAUGGCCUCAGCUCAUCCCUUAUAAUCACUGCAUGUAGCCAAUAUGAUAAACAUAUUCUUACCCUUAAAUAGGUUAAUAUAAACCUAAUAACCCUUGGAUGUCCAGUUCUCAGAUCUAAUAAGUUUCUGUUUGCAGAAAUUGACUAUUAUGGAAAAUCAUACAUUUUCUACUCAAUAAGGGUAAUGUUUUAUUUAUAUGUGUGUAGUACUUUGCCUGCAUGUAUGUCUGCACCUCUGUGUGCCUGAUACCUAAGGAAGCCAGACGAUGGUAUCGGAUUCCCUGGAACCAGAGUUAGAGACGGCUUUGAGCCACUCUGUGGGUCCUGGAAAUUGAGCCCAACUCUUCCAGAGGACUGGGGCUCAAUUUCCAGCACCCACAUUCGGUUCAUAGCCAUCUCUAACUCCAGUUCCAGGUACUGAAUUACACUACCGUUUGAUGACCCGUAUAGGGAAGUAUGAAAAUGUUAUUAAAACAUCCCCCUUUCUGCAUAACUUUAUGAGACUUCCCCGUGUAAAAGAAAAGCUCAAACAAAGUUUGAUAGAUUUAAGGUUUUCCUAAUAGAAAUUGUAAUGUCCCUGCUUGAAGACAUUUUAAAAUAGAAGAUAUUCACAGUGAGUCAGCCUUGUGAACAACCAGAUGUUUUCUUCUGUGUGAAAGGGCUUGACGUGUGGUAGGAUGCCCACUCUAACUAAGGAUAGAGAAGCCCGAAAGCUCUGUUAGACCUGUCUGAGACUUGCCCUCUUUCCCUUAUGGGUGAUAAUCUCGGCAUUCCCUGUUGCUGUCCAAAGGACCUUUUCUGCAGUCUGCUCUGCCCCGUUUCACACACAGGAGUGCAUGAAAAAGGAUGGCAUUGUCACAUAUCAUUUCAUAUAACUCUAAGCAUAUGCCUGCCUUUUUAAAUUAUUACUUAUGCACAGCUGCUGAAAAUUGGUGUCAUGCCAUAGGUUGAAAGUAGGAGGUGAUUUGUCACACACAAUGUCCAAAAGCCAGCAGCGGAGCGGGCCACUGGAAAUGGGGUUCCAUUUCUGGAGUAAGGAGAAAGGUUGGAUGAGGGGGGAAAUGGUGAAAAAUGCAGUUCAGAAGACUGGACUGAACAAGAUUCAUACCACAGAUCCCUUCUAAUCAUACUUGCAGACACAGCCCAUGUUCAGUCUCCUCCUUUCCCCCCUCCCCCGCCACGUACACACACACACACACACACACACACACACACACACGUUUUUAAUCCUUUAAGUUGCUUUGAAAGUAAGAUCAAGAGAGGUUAAUAUGGUUGUCUUGACAACAGCAGGUUAGACCUGGGAAGUGAGUUGGCUCUGUGCCGCUGUCGUAUGUUCUCUUGUCUCAGGUUACAUCAGACACACUAAUUUAUGGCACGCUAAUUGCAUGGGUACACUUCUCUAAUAGAAAGGUCAAUAUAAAGAUUUCAAGGACUCCUCUGGCCCCUCCCAUCGAGUAGCAACAUCCACUGACUAGUUGUAUGUUCCCUUGGCCAUUUUCUCUUCUGCUCAUGCAAUCUCUAGCGUGUGUACACAUCCGUAUAUCAUCAUUGCGUGAGUACAUGUAUGUGUAUGCUAUGUUGAUAAUUUUUGACUAAUGUUUUCUUUAACUAUACCUGGUUUGUGUGAACAUGAAUAGAGUAUUUUUAACACUCGGCAAGCGGGAAAGCCCUGCUGCUUACCCUCCUCUCGUAGCUUCAUUUGAUACUUUACUGUUUAUGCAUUCAAUGCCCACUGCAGGCUACCUUCAAGAAGUUUCUACUUGAAAAUUGAAAGUGUACAAAAAUAGUAUCAGGCUCUUUAUUAAAACCGUGAAGGAGUCUUUCUGUGGUAUAUCGCCUUUGCUAGGAGAUGGGCCGCACGGGAAAGGAUUCUAAGUACGUGCGCACCUCUCCAGUGUCUGUCUGUGCACAUUUGUUUAUGUUAAAGGCAUUUUGCCUUGACACCUGUUGACCCUGUCUGCACUUCUAAGACACCAAGCUCUCCAGUGUCUUAAUAAAGUUAAGGCUUCACUUGAAUGGACACGUCAGUCUGCUAUGCUUUCCCUGUGAAUUUCAAGGCAGGGCUGAAGGAAUCAAGUGUGUGUGCAAAAUAAGCCACAGCUGUCAGUCAUCCACCAUGUUUUAAGUGUAAGAAAGAGACAUGUAUUUGUUUUAUAGUUGGCAUGGAUACAAGCAGGAAUGAGAAAUGUCAAGAAUUCACGGCAUUUAUGAUUAUGAUUAGUUAGUUGAAUCUAAGCACCUCUAAAUCCAGUCGUGGAUCAUGUGACUUUUCCAUAAAAAUAUCAAGCAUAGAUUCUGACUAGCAGUGUGCACAGAGCUCCCCUGCCAGGCAGUUAAGGUGGCAGUGUCCAGAAAGGCCUCCCUCGUGCCCGGCGAUCACGAUUGGUAGUUAUUUCAGUCAUUCACACAUUUCUCAUUUGCUCUGGCAGACAAGGAGCAAGCUUAGGUUUUUUUUUUUUUUUUCAAUAUGAUCAAACCCUGGCACUGAAGUGCUUUUAUAAUUACUGCAAUUUAUAAUUUUAGCAAUAAUUACUAAGUACACAAGAAUUGUCUAAAAAUAAAAUAAAGAUUCUUAAUCUUGUUAACUCUAAUACUGGCUUGCUUAGAGAUGUAGAGUGAGUGGUUUUAUAUUCUAGCCUUAUUUCUCCCAAGGUGGGCUAAGAUUUGUCAUACAUAGCGUUACGCUGUCUGAAAACCCCAGGUCAGUGCUGCGCUGUUUGAAGUGGUAACUAUGCAGAGUGUAUCCCAGAAUGACAUAGUUUAGAAUGAAAGUAGUUAAGAAUUUAAAAGUAUCUUUUUUUUUCUAUAAACGAUAUGGAUGUAAUAGUAAUCUUUUCAAAACUAAAUAAAGGUCUUUAUGUUUCUUGGAGAAAACUA